rnacentral:rRNA from 1 species
UGGCGGCAGGCCUAACACAUGCAAGUUCGAGCGGCAGCGACAUAAACAAUCCUUCGGGUGCGUUUAUGGGCGGCGAGCGGCGGACGGGUGAGUAAUGCCUGGGAAUAUGCCCUGAUGUGGGGGAUAACCAUUGGAAACGAUGGCUAAUACCGCAUAAUCUCUUCGGAGCAAAGAGGGGGACCUUCGGGCCUCUCGCGUCAGGAUUAGCCCAGGUGAGAUUAGCUAGUUGGUGAGGUAAGAGCUCACCAAGGCGACGAUCUCUAGCUGGUCUGAGAGGAUGAUCAGCCACACUGGAACUGAGACACGGUCCAGACUCCUACGGGAGGCAGCAGUGGGGAAUAUUGCACAAUGGGGGAAACCCUGAUGCAGCCAUGCCGCGUGUGUGAAGAAGGCCUUCGGGUUGUAAAGCACUUUCAGUUGUGAGGAAGGCAUUAUCGUUAAUAGCGGUAGUGUUUGACGUUAGCAACAGAAGAAGCACCGGCUAACUCCGUGCCAGCAGCCGCGGUAAUACGGAGGGUGCGAGCGUUAAUCGGAAUUACUGGGCGUAAAGCGCAUGCAGGCGGCUUGUUAAGCCAGAUGUGAAAGCCCGGGGCUCAACCUCGGAAUAGCAUUUGGAACUGGCAGGCUAGAGUCUUGUAGAGGGGGGUAGAAUUUCAGGUGUAGCGGUGAAAUGCGUAGAGAUCUGAAGGAAUACCGGUGGCGAAGGCGGCCCCCUGGACAAAGACUGACGCUCAGAUGC